UUUCUUUUUUUUUUUUUUUUUUUUUUUUUGGCCUACUUGCAGCAUAUGAAGUUUCUGGACUGGGAAUCAGAUCUGAGCCACAGUUGGGACCUAUGCCAUAGCUCCGGCAAUGUGGAUCCUUUAACCUACUGUGGGGUCUGGGGAUUGAACCUGUGUUCUGGUGUCACCGAGAUGCCACCCUUCCCAUUGCACCAAAGCAGGAACUCCAUCAUUUCUGUGUUUUAAAACUUUUGUCAUGGGAGUUCCCAUGGUGGCUCAGCAGUUAACGAACCCAACUAGUAUCCAUGAAGAUGCAGGUUUGAUCCCUGGGCUCGCUCAGUGGUUAAGGAUCUGGCAUUGCCAUGAGCUGUGGUGCAGGCCAGCGGCUACAGCUCUGAUUUGACCCUAGCCUGGGAACCUCCAUAUGCCACGGGUGCAGCACUAAAACAAAAAAAACAAAAAAAAAACUUUUGUCAUGUUCUUACAUGAGAGUACCUCCUUAGUUGCUAUUUUACUUCCAGCAUUUUUAUUUGUUUUUUUAAAAUGUCUUACUGACCAGUUGUAGAACAUUCCUAAAUAUGUAGUUAAGUAAAGGAAAUAUUUAACCUUUUUUGUUUUGUUUUGUUUUGCUUUGCUUUUUAGGGUUGCACUCAUGGCAAUAUGGAAGUUCCCAAGCUAGGGGUUGAAUCAGAGCUCCAGCUGUCAGCCUACACCACAGCUACAGCAACACCAGAACCCAGCCACGUCUGUGACCUACACCACAGCUCACAACAAUGCCAGAUCGUUUACCCACUGAGUAAGGCCAGGGAUCAAACCGGCAUCCUCAUGGAUCCUAGUCAGUUUCCUUAACUGCUGAGCCACAAAGGGAACUCCAGGAAAUAUUUAACCUUUUUAAAUGAAGUUCACUUAUGUCUCUAUCUUGCCAAGACUUGUAUGAAUGGGGACUAAGGUGGCAAAGAUGGGGAGACUUUAAAUUGCAACUAUUUGCAUUGUGUUUCAUUGCUACUAAAGUAUCCACUUUAAUCAGUGCACAUGGGUUGAUGGUUUGGAGGGUGUUUUCUGGAGCUUCUUGAGGCAGAGAAAAGUAGCACAGGCCCUUUUAAAAUGACGUUUCAACCUGUUUUCUCACGGGCUUCAUGUCAUAAUAAAUCAUAGAGGAGCAAGGCUAAGGUUUCUUAGCACUGCAGCUAAACUAGGUCUAGGUACUUCAGAGUCUUGAACCUGGACUCUAGGAUCCAAAAAGAAAAUGCAUGUCAGGCACUUCUGUCAGUUGCUAAGCAUGAUGCAAACUUAAAAUGUUCCUGUUAGUUGUCACCCCAAAAAUCAGAACAUGCAUCAUUUUAUCAGAUGACGAUGAAAGAGGGUGUAAAUGCAGAAGGCAAAAGCCAUGCAGGAGAAAAUUGCUGAGAAAAAAGUUCCUUAAAUUUUUUUUUGGAGGAAAGAGGUAUUUAUUUUUUAGUAUUUCUAUGUAAAUUGAAAACCAGUUUGUUUUAAACACAAUGGUGUCAUUCCAAGAUUUACAUAGCUCCCUUGUGGGGUCUUGCUUUGUCAAAUCAUGCUGGAUUUAAUGAGAUUUUAAAAAAUAUUCCGUCAAGAUGCAAAGACAUGUCUCCAUAAUCACUACAGACAGGAUGCCUUAAAAGAGUUCUUAUACAGGUAUGGUUUACAAAAUUCUUAGUCACACUUACAGAAAGAAGGUGCCUUCUAGGAUGUAAUUAUUUCUGCUAGGCAACAUGUUAACAUACUGUCUAAAAUGAUAGAAAGGGGUGGAUUUUGAUCAAGGAGCUGAAAAAUUAAGUAGAGCAGGACCUCAUUGCUUAUCCACCCAAAUGCAAUAGUUUGCUUCUACUAACCCCACACUCCCCAUCCACCCACUCCCUCCCCUUCCCCUUGGCCACCACAAGGCUGCUCUCCAUGUCCAUUAGUUUGUUUCUUUUCUGUAGAUAGAUUCAUUUCUGCCGUAUAUAUUUGAUUCCAGACGUAAGUGAUAGCAUACAGUAUUUGUCUCUUUCUGACUUAAAAACUUUUAACAUGAAUGUCACGUCGCAACAGAAUAUUGAGUUACAUUUCUUUUAAAAAAAUAAGCCUGUGGUUGACAUCACCAAGGCAGCGCCUUCCACUCUGAGUUUUAUCUCUGAUCAAAGGAUCACAGCAGUUAAGCUAGUUUCUCAGAAGGCAGAGGCAGAGUUCACCUCUGUGCUUCGUAUGAUCCCUCAUGUCCCCACUUCAAUUUGUCCACAUGGACUGGUGAGCAGGCAUUUUAUUUUUGAAAGAUAAGGGUAAUUCCUUAGCUUCUUCUCAUUCUUUUUCAUUCAGUUUUUCCCUCUGUGCUUCAUUUUUCAGUUGCCUUAAUCAACAAAAUCUUCCUCAGUACUUUCCUCUGUAGCAAAACACAUGUAUUUCUGCUAACAAACUGUCAAGUGUAAUUUCCUUCACACAUUAACCUUUUUACAGUUGGAUAAUGAAGUGGUUUAAAGGGCUUGAUUUUAUUACAUUUUCCUGGGUGCAUUUACUUUUGUAACACUCAAAAUAAGAAUGAUACUAGAUUUCAACUUAAAAGCAUCAAUAAUUACUGAAAGUAUAUGAACUUUGGAAGUGCGUGUGUAUGUGCGUGUGUGUGGUGUGUGUGUCUUUAUCAAACUGGUCUCCAAAAGGGAAUGCACCGUUAUUUUCCAGCCUGUGAUCUCAAAUACCACUUAAUGGUAAUACAUUAUGGUUGCACAAAUGAUCAUAUAUUUGUAUUUGUUGUUCUUUGUAUUGGGAUGGCUUCACUCUAUUUCUCUAAAACAUUUCUCUCAAUUUCUCCCUGCUUUAAAAUAGGGUUGGGCAUUCUAUGGAUCCCAGAAGCUGUGGCAUAGGUCUCAGCUGCGGCUCUGAUUUGACCCCUAGCCCAGAAACUUCCAUAUGUCCCAGUUGUGGAUGUGAAAAGAAAAAGAAGUAUGGGUUGUUUUGAACAGUGUGCACGAAUUAUACAGACAGAGAAGAAGAAAACAUUUGAGUGUUGUCUGCUCAUUGUCCUUGGUGGAGCCUGGUGGGCUAGGUGGCAAAUGACACUGCUCUUCUCCUUGGGAGGACAGAAGGUGGGAAGGAGGCAGGCAGGUGGAGACCAGCUAAGUAGCUUCCUCGCUGGCACAUACUGAUGAAUUGGAGGAUGCAGUCCAGACGUGCGGCCACAGUGGGCUCUGAAUAUUCAUCCCCAACUGGGCCCUACCCCUCGCAGGCCUAAGGGGAGGAGGCCUGUCCAAGGGGCAGGCUGCUUACUGCAGGUGUGAGACCCAAGUUCAAGGUGCUCUGGGCAGACACAUCUUUUCAAAGAAGAGACUUGGAACGAAGCAAGCACUCCUUAGUUCCUUCUUCCAGAUUCACCCAUUCGGUAAAUCUCCUCUCCUCUCUCAAGGAGGGUAGAGGGGGGGUGUGUUGUCACUUGGUAACUGUAGGCCAAGGAAAUGAAGCUCACCUAUAAUUUCUGUCUGGAUUUAAACUGCAAUUGGGAUUAAGCUUCUGUCUUUUGUACACAGCAGGUAAUGAUGAGAGAGUGGAGAGAUGGAUGCUAGGUGGUCAAAAGAAAUCUGUUUUGUGUUCUAAAUUUUGCCAUAUAUAACUCCCAAGGGGGAGAAUUCUUUUGUUGAGUCACUUUGGUAAAACAAAUUUUACUUGGAGGAAAUGAAUAUUGUUUUAAGUAAGAAUCUCAGUUUCAGCCAGCUUGUUUCCAUUAAAGAUUUUCUCAAGUUCCCUGUCCUGUGGUUUAAAAAAAAAAAAAAGUGGGCUUUUUUAAAUUGAUUACAUUGAUUGCAUAUAAUAGGAGUUACAGUAAUAAUUUAUUCUUGUUCAUGCCUUUAAAAUGUAACUAAAUUGUCAGAAAGCUACUACUGCAUGUCUCGUGCCACAAACAUCAUUGAGCUACAUGACAGUCAUACGUAUUUAUUUUCUCUAAAUUGUAGUUUAAAAUCUAUGUGUUUUUCCCUAAUCUGAGGAAGUAGCUGGCAUUCAACUCUAGAUUGAGUAAGAGGGCCUUUGGGCUUUGUGACCCUAGGCAAGCUGCAGCCUCUCUGAGCCUUCCUUACUUCUUGUCAAACUAGGGACUGAGUAAAUCAAUGACUUUCCUACCUUAAUUUUUUUUCAAAGAAAAGAACGUUUCUUUUUCUUAAAAAAAAAUAUAUAUAUUUGCAUGAAACUGUAUUAUAUGAAACAGAGACAGGCAUAGAGCUGCUUAGUCAGAGGAGGGAAGGAGACUCAAAGCUGAAGCUUCUCUGUCCCUUAAUCCUACAGUGUCCCCAAGGGGACCUUCCUUUUCUAUGGAACAUAGUUGGGAAACUACAGGUCAGGAGGGACUCCUUCUAGUUAAAAAUCUUUACAGUUAACAAUUUACAGAUAGGAAAACCAUGUAUCUAAUUUUUUUCACUUUGUUUUUGUUAAGUGGAAACGCUUAAAGCAAACUGCAGGUGUGUUCUCUUUAUUAACGUUGGACCUCAAACUACUUCCUUCAUCUGAAUGCCAUCCUCACCUAGACAUCAACAUAAAGGUCUCCAAAGUACAUAUUUAGGAAAAGAGCUUUGGGCAGAAAAGACAGUCAUCUUACACUGAUUCACCAGGAGUUGCAAGAAAAUAUAAGUAGAGAACUAGCAAGAGGUAUGUUGUCAAAAUUUAUGAAUUUACACAUUGACUUCUGAAAUAAACUGUGAACAGUAAAUGGCAUCUCUUUCCAUUGUUUGCAUAACAGAUACUACAUUCAGUAUUUUCUUAUAUCAUGAAAAAUGCGAAAGUGUAAACAUUUCAUAAUGGAAAAAUAUACUUUUUCCUCAUGUUCCAUAGCUUUCCAACAAAUCUCAAACAAUCUGCUAUUUCUUUUCCUUUGUGGCUCUGUCCCUCCUCUUGUCCGCCAUCCCCAUGGAUCUGUCCACCUGCACACUGACACUGAUCUCAGAAAACAUGGUGCUCACCAACUUCUCAAGUUCCAUCAGUGACUAAGGCCAAUCCCAGUCCAUGCAGCUGUCACUUGGUGGGUGACAUUUGAACUUUCUGUCAUUGACUUUGUCAUUGGUUUCUCUUUUGCCCUCAGGAAAAAUUCCAAAUUCCUUAGCAUGGAAUAAAAAUACCCAAGUCUGUUUGGCUCUUGAGGAAGGAUUCAGCCUAUCUCCCUCCUCUGCCCCUUUCCUCUGUCUGGCAUCCAUCAGACAGACAGCUGACAAUUCCAGACAGCUCUGCCUCACCUCUGCCCUUUGUGUUUGCUUCUUCCCUCCAUUUCCCAAACUUCUUCCUGUCCUUCACGCAUCUAUAUCCAUAUCACCUCCACCCAAAAGCUGGCAAUAUUGACACCAAGCUGGAUGUCCCUUCUAAGUGUACCAAUCGUGUCCUCGUUUGUACCUGUCAUAGGACUUAUGACUCUGUAUGGAAAUGACCUGUUCAUCUAUUUUUCCAGUCGAGAGUAUGCGAUUCUUCAGGGUGGCCUGUGUCACCUUCCACUUGUCAUUCCAGUGCUUGUCACAGCAGCUUAGCACCUGGAUGUGGAGUAAAUGAAUGGGGAAUGAGAAAACCGGAAGCUCCGGUACUCAGCCUCAAGAGCAGUUAGCUCAGCAUGUAACCACGGGGACAAAUGGUAAAAUAGUCAUUGCGUAUUUUGGUUGUAGUCGAAUAUGGCUGUUUUUCAUUCUUCUUAACACAUAGAAAGGACUCCACUAUACCAACUUAUAUUUAGUUAACUAGGAAGUAUUUUAGAUAAAGCCAUCCUUUCUUUUUCUCUUCAGCUGCUGCUGAAUUUGAAUCUAGAUCCUACGGAGCUUCUCCUCCAAGGUCUACCGAUGAUCAGCUUGUGAAAGCAUCCCAAGAAUAUGCACAGAUUCUGAAGAAAAAUUAUAUGAUCUGAAAGAUAAACAGUUGUUUUCCAUUAAAACAAAAUGUGAAAAUUUUUAUGAAAGGAAAAUACGUUUGUAUCAUCUGUGUAUGAUGAGAAUGUAUGUAGUAUUUUAUACCAUGUUUCUCUGCAUCUAACUUACUUUUAAGCAGAUUUUGUGAAUAAAAACCAGCACAGUUGAGUUUG
rnacentral:lncRNA from 1 species